UAACUAUUAAUUUAAAUUAAAAUAUUAAUUUUGUAAAUUAAAAAUAUUUUUAAAAAAUAUAGUUAA
rnacentral:tRNA from 1 species